GAUACAGAAAUAGCAAGAGUUACAUCUAACAGGUUUAUCUCACAUCGCUCAGUUGUGAAAAAGUAUGCAACAGAAGUAUAAUUGAUCAAGGAAGCAAACAGGUGAUUGAUCAAUUUGGGAAACAUAAAGUGGUCCUCUACCAAAUAUAAGUAAAAUUAACACUUUGAUGAUUAGUUUAGUUGAUUUUCCCUGUGUUUGCAAAUGACAAGUUUCAUGAGAGUAAAUGAUGAUUCCUUCCAUUUUUAGGUACACAACUGACAUAUUUAGAAAGAUGGACAGGUUAUACAUCCCUUCUACUGCUAUGCUGUCAUAUUCUGAUUGCAUGAACAUUUGAAAAUUGAAAGUUUUGACAGAUUAUAUAGAUUUUCCUUUUCAUGGUAUGACAUCUCAAAAAAGAAAGAAUUAGCAUGUUAUUAGCAGUUGUGUCAUUCUCACCAAAGAAAUAGAAGAUGGGUG
rnacentral:misc_RNA from 1 species